rnacentral:rRNA from 1 species
GAUGAACGCUGGCGGCGUGCCUAAUACAUGCAAGUCGAGCGAACGGACGAGAAGCUUGCUUCUCUGAUGUUAGCGGCGGACGGGUGAGUAACACGUGGAUAACCUACCUAUAAGACUGGGAUAACUUCGGGAAACCGGAGCUAAUACCGGAUAAUAUUUUGAACCGCAUGGUUCAAAAGUGAAAGACGGUCUUGCUGUCACUUAUAGAUGGAUCCGCGCUGCAUUAGCUAGUUGGUAAGGUAACGGCUUACCAAGGCAACGAUGCAUAGCCGACCUGAGAGGGUGAUCCGGCCACACUGGGACCGAGACACGGCCCAG